rnacentral:rRNA from 1 species
CCUACGGGAGGCAGCAGUAGGGAAUCUUCCGCAAUGGACGAAAGUCUGACGGAGCAACGCCGCGUGAACGAUGAAGGCCUUCGGGUCGUAAAGUUCUGUUGUUAGGGAAGAACAAGUGCUAGUUGAAUAAGCUGGCACCUUGACGGUACCUAACCAGAAAGCCACGGCUAACUACGUGCCAGCAGCCGCGGUAAUACGUAGGUGGCAAGCGUUGUCCGGAAUUAUUGGGCGUAAAGCGCGCGGCAGGCGGUUUCUUAAGUCUGAUGUGAAAGCCCCGGCUCAACCGGGGAGGGUCAUUGGAAACUGGGAAACUUGAGUGCAGAAGAGGAAAGUGGAAUUCCAAGUGUAGCGGUGAAAUGCGUAGAGAUUUGGAGGAACACCAGUGGCGAAAGGCGACUUUCUGGUCUGUAACUGACGCUGAGGCGCGAAAGCGUGGGGAGCAAACAGGAUUAGAUACCCUGGUAGUCCACGCUGUAAACGAUGAGUGCUAAGUGUUAGAGGGUUUCCGCCUUUAGUGCUGAAGUUAACGCAUUAAGNACUCCGCCUGGGGAGUCGGUCGCAAGACUGAAACUCAAANAGAUGAGNGNGAGAGNGCGAGAGACGACGAGGAGAG